UCAGUCUGUCAGUGGAGCAGGACAGUGACAGCAGUCUGUCGCUGAAGCUGCUCUUCUAUCUGUAGAUGAUCCUGUUUAGUGGAUGCAGUGGAUUCUCCAUAAUUGAUAGGAGCCUGCUGAGUGCCCGUCGCUCUGCCACAAAUGUCAGACUGUCUAGCUCCAUGCCAACAAUAGAGCCUGCCUUCCUCACCAGUUUGUCCAGGCGUGAGGCAUCUUUCUUCUUAAUGCUGCCUCCCCAGCACACCACUGCGUAGAAGAGGGCGCUCGCCACAACCGUCUGAUAGAACAUCUGCAGCAUCUUAUUGCAGAUAUUGAAGGACGCCAGCCUUCUAAGGAAGUAUAACCGGCUCUGUCCUUUCUUACACAGAGCAUCAGUAUUCUACUUCUAGCCUGACAGAGUACCUUACUAAGCUGUGCAAAAUAUGGACCAUACUACUAGAGAACUUGUGGAUGGCAGCAGCUUCUCUUAAAUGGAGUGUUGACUGUAAACGUUGAAUGUCCUCAUAAAUUUAGGGUUGGACUGUGGUUCACUAUGUGGGGCCGUCACCUAAAAGUUCUGUUCUGGAAAGUGCCACUUUCAUUUAUAUCAUUACUAAACAUGUUGGUUCAGUAACCUACAAGUUAGAUCUUCCAGCUGAAUUCAGGAUUAAUUUCUCACUCCAUGCAUCCAUACUGAAAUCUAUUUAUUCUAGUCCUCAUUCUAGGAACAUUUCUCCUUUUGGAUUAUAGGUGGUGAGGAUCUCACGUUUUUUGUUUGGAGCAUUGGAAUGGUUAACAGUCUCCUGAAGGCCAGUCAAGGCUGAAGUUUGAUGAUAUUUUUCUAAUAUGCCUGAUGAGCCUUGUAUUAUUGGACUGAUGAUCAUUGCCAGAUACAUAUCAUCUUGGCAACAAUGCCACCAAGUGCCAAUCAUCCUCUGAAGCAGGAGCAGCACACACCCAGGGUUGACUGUAGAUGAAGACAUCCUCUGCUCCUGUUGGGUGUCCCGCUCCCGAGGUGCGCCACUAUGAAGUGGAAGAUUUUCUAUUCUUUUAAUUGAGAGAUGGAACUGUCCCCUCCGACUAAACACGGAGCUCGAUUCAAUCCUGAAAGAGACUUAUGUUUGUUUGAAGUGUCUGAAUAACGUUUCUGUCUCUAAAAUGUCCUGUGUAUCUGUGCACCUCUGUGAUGCAAGCGUGACAGCUGUCACAGAUGACUGGGGUCAUUACCUGGCCGGGAUGCCUGGAGGGACCAGAAAGGGACAGUAACAGCUUUCGGGGCACAAGGGGGCAGCCGCCCUGGAUAAAAUGAGGACCACGGGAAAGGGACAAAGAGGUUUUGACCUGUUGGGAACCAUGGCCACCGCCAGGGGAUGCUUUAAGCCUCAUGGGACCUGGGGAACUGUCACUUCUGCCACACCAGGAAGUGUGGCCGGAAGAUCGUAUUCAUCCACCUGCAGCACAUCCGGGCAGGAAUAAAAGGAACUGCCUCCUAACAGUCGGAGAGCCAGAGUCGGGAGUGGGAGUUGGACGAAGCUCCCAGGAGGAGAAUAGAGGCGGCUAAGGACAUUGUGAAGUCUGGAAUUGGGGUGAUUAUUGCUGAGUGCAUUGUGUGGU